AAUCGCUAGUAAUCGCGGAUCAGAAUGCCGCGGUGAAUACGUUCCCGGGUCUUGUACACACCGCCCGUCACACCAUGGGAGUCGGAUAUGCCCGAAGUCAGUGACCCAACCGCAAGGAGGGAGCUGCCGAAGGUGGAGCCGAUGACUGGGGUGAAGUCGUAACAAGGUAAC
rnacentral:rRNA from 1 species